GGCCUGUUAAAAGUUAUAGCUGUAGGCCUAAUUUAACGAGAGUCUUCCUCUUUCUUUCGGUUAAAAAGAGGGAAAAAUUCUCAUUGUGCUCUCCAAUCUGAGGGUUAAAACGAAAGGGAAGAAAUUCCAUUUUUUCUUAUGGUCGGAAUGUUUCAACUAACCACAUUAACAAUGGCCACUGAGUUUUGAGGAGCCAUGGUGCUCUGAAACCUGUUUUUUGCUCCUCUCUUUCUCACCCCUCCCUCCCAGUCACGGUGCCAAUGGAACUUGCAAUCAAUUGGGAAUCAAUGUUACGAUGUCAAGUGCCAGCAAACCAUAAGCACUUUUGCAAAGUCAGAAUCACAUCACCAAUCAUCGAUGGUAUGUGAGUACUUACACUGUGUAGAGCACCGUACCAUGUUUAUCGUAUCCCUUUGAUGCACCCCUAGGAGUGUCAACUUUGAUCCCAAGGAAAAAAAAAAUCAGAAACUGGAAGGAGGAGAGAACGGGAUGGACAGUGACAGAACACUACAGCAGAAUCUUGAACAGACAACGUGAGAAGCGGUGCGGCCCAGUGGAAAGAGCAUGAUCCUAGAAGAACUAAACCGAUGGAUUUAGUAGGUGGGACAGGUCUCGACAGGCCUUGGCCCUCGAGGAGAACCUUUCAACGGGAGCCCUGAGAAGAUAAGGUCCUGUCUUGUUGGGAACAGUCUCUGAUGACUUCAGGCAACAUUUACCGGGGAGGUAAUGACCUGCAGUUACCUGCUCUUGGGAUCUGGUGUCGGGAGCAGUUGCUGAAUGGAAGGCGCUCCGAGACGAGCCAAGAACAGAAUUUCCAGUCAAGUCUCCCGUCUGAGCAGCCAGCCACUGGGUCUGAAGGAUUCCGUCGCUUCUGUGGGGACAGGGGGCGGGGCUUGAAAGGCUUCGGGUUGAGAAGGAAUAGAGGGGUGGACAGAUAGAGGGGAAGACUGGAGUAGGGGCAGAGGGAGGAGAAGAAGGGAGAGAACAAAGGAAGAGAAAGGGGGAAGGAAAAGUGAAAGGAAGGUGUUCACCUCCGUCUUCACUGACGGUCUUCUGGGGCCAUUCUGAGCUCUGGUUUUGGAUGACAAGGACGUGGUGAAGACACACUCUGUCCCCGCCCCGUUCUCUGCCUCCACAAGCUUUCUGCGAUGAUUCCCUUGAAGUGGUGCUAUGGCAGAAGACCCCUU
rnacentral:lncRNA from 1 species